rnacentral:rRNA from 1 species
UAGUCCACGCCGUAAACGAUGAGUACUAGUUAUUAGAGGUAUUGACUCCUUUAGUGACGCAGCUAACGCAUUAAGUACUCCGCCUGGGAAGUACGGUCGCAAGACUAAAACUCAAAGGAAUUGACGGGGGCCCGCACAAGCGGUGGAUUAUGUGGUUUAAUUCGAAGCAACGCGCAGAACCUUACCUAGGCUUGAAAUCCUCAGAAUUCGAUGUAAUUUUCGAAGUGCCCGCAAGGGAAUUGAGUGACAGGUGCUGCAUGGCUGUCGUCAGCUCGUGUUGUGAAAUGUUGGGUUAAGUCUCGCAACGAGCGCAACCCCGUAUCUUUAGUUGCCAGCAUUAAGUUGGGCACUCUAGAGAGACUGCCCGGGUUAACCGGGAGGAAGGUGGGGAUGACGUCAAGUCCUCAUGGCCCUUAUGCCUAGGGCUACGACACGUAAUACAAUGGUACAUACAAAGAGAAGCGAUCAGGUGACUGUCAGCUAAUCUCAAAAAGUGUAUCACAGUCCGGAUUG